CUCUCUCUGCGUCUCCACCCUUCCCCUCCUCCCAUUCGUUCAAUCCUUUUUUCUUAACGUAAUCAAUUUUCCUCUCAUUUUUUCUCAAUGUUCUCAGCUAAUAGAUUUCAAAGGAGAUCUAACAUAAAAGCAAAAUCUUAGCUGUAUAGGCUGAGAUGUUAAUUGUGUUAACAAAGCUGCUAUUGGACAUUAUAGGAAACACAAUCACGUUGCCGUGGUAACAAAAUAAACCCAUCUCCAUUGGAUAACUCAGCUCUCAGUUUCAACACAAUACGCUUUGACUACCAAUGGAAUUGCCUCUAACCCAAAUAGACUGUCUGGCUCCACUCUUCUACUUCCUUCUCAUUUGACACUUCGGAGGGUUCAGAUCUGUAAUCCUAGAUCCGAGAUGAACCGCGCAGUUGGUUCCAGAUCAGGCAGUUCUCCGAAUAGUUUUUCUUCUAUAGGAGUGUUUCGGGACCAGAGUAAUGUUUUGGCCUCUUGAUAGAGUAUGCAGCUUUGAGCUAUAUGGUCAGCAUUCUUGGGUGAUGCUCCACAAGGGCAUGUUUCGCUAGUCCCGACUUUAAAGACCAACUGAAGAGGUUUUUUUCGAAAUUGAGAUAGCGAUUGAUUUAGAUAGUAGAUAGCAUCAAAGUUAGUUCCUAAAAAUUUGAGAUUUUAGAAAAGCGUAUUUAUAUUAGAAAAAGUAAUUUGAAAGUGUAAAAAAUAACGAGAUUUGAAAAUCAGCUUCAAUGGCCGAAACCGGAAGUGACGUAUUGUAAUGGACUGAGAAAAUGUAAAUAAAAAUAGACAUGGCUGGAUACGUUAUUGAUAGCGAUUCAGAUAAUAAACUUAUCUAAAUCUAGCUGUCCAACAAUUUUAAAUGAUACUUAUCAUGGGAUGCACCAAAAUGCCAUGAAGAGAACUCUUCUACUUUUUCAAAAUAUAUUCUAGAGCAGACUAUUGAAUUAAUAUAAUUAAUAUAAUUAUAGAUAGAUUAUAAUAAUAGGACUAGUCACUAGAUUCUAGAUUGUCACUAGAUCACUAGAUCUACUACUGUAGUUACAGUAGUACUACUCAGAUCUAGACUCUAGACCUAGUCUACUCUAGUAGUAGUCUCUAGUAUCAUCAAGUACUAGUAGAUCAUCUAGGUCUAGGAAACAUAUAUGACAUGUGGCAUACAGACAAGUUUACUAGAUGGAUCUUUCAUCAUUUUGGAAAUACAAUAUUCCCUGUGAAACAAAUCACAGAAACAUUCUACAAUUUUAUUUUAUAUAAUAAAUACCAAUAAAUGUAAAUACAAAAUCACA